GAUGAACGCUGGCGGCGUGCCUAAUACAUGCAAGUCGAGCGAACAAACGAGGAGCUUGCUCCUCUGACGUUAGCGGCGGACGGGUGGGUAACACGUGGAUAACCUACCUAUAAGACUGGGAUAACUUCGGGAAACCGGAGCUAAUACCGGAUAAUAUAUUGAACCGCAUGGUUCAAUAGUGAAAGACGGUUUUGCUGUCACUUAUAGAUGGAUCCGCGCCGCAUUAGCUAGUUGGUAAGGUAACGGCUUACCAAGGCAACGAUGCGUAGCCGACCUGAGAGGGUGAUCGGCCACACUGGAACUGAGACACGGUCCAGACUCCUACGGGAGGCAGCAGUAGGGAAUCUUCCGCAAUGGGCGAAAGCCUGACGGAGCAACGCCGCGUGAGUGAUGAAGGUCUUCGGAUCGUAAAACUCUGUUAUUAGGGAAGAACAAAUGUGUAAGUAACUAUGCACGUCUUGACGGUACCUAAUCAGAAAGCCACGGCUAACUACGUG
rnacentral:rRNA from 1 species